rnacentral:rRNA from 1 species
UACAGAGGUCUCAAGCGUUGUUCGGAUUCAUUGGGCGUAAAGGGCGCGUAGGCUGCGGGGCAAGUCGGGUGUGAAAUCUCAGAGCUCAACUCUGAAACUGCAUUCGAUACUGCGGUGCUUGAGGACUGGAGAGGAGACUGGAAUUCAUGGUGUAGCAGUGAAAUGCGUAGAGAUCAUGAGGAAGACCAGUGGCGAAGGCGGGUCUCUGGACAGUUCCUGACACUGAGACACGAAGGCCAGGGGAGCAAACGGG